GGAGGAUUGGCAGAGCGGUCGAAUGCGGCGGUCUUGAAAACCGUUGUGCCUUCGGGUACCGGGGGUUCGAAUCCCUCAUCCUCCG
rnacentral:tRNA from 1 species